AGGGAGUAAAGACAAAUGCGAAAUUCAGUCCAGAGUUCAGGGAUUCCAAAGCUCAUAGCCUAGAGCUUCUUAACCUUUAGGCGAGGUAGAGACAUUUAAAACAGCCCCUAAACUUGAGAAGCGCGUAGGCUCACGGGAAAUAGAGUCCGGUACUCGUCCUGCGACCAGCGGCGGGCCCUGGGAGGCGGACUUCCGGUGCACUCCUGUGCGUGUGCACUGUUCUCUGUGUGCAGGUUCGCGCAUGCGCUCCGCCGCCACACUGCCCUCGCUUCCGGUGCGUCCUCAGGUCACCGCUUGCUCUGGUUCCCAGGCUUUGGCCUCCAGUGGACGGGAAUCGCGGAGCUUGCGGGGCUGGACGCUGACCGCCAGGGCCCGGCCCGGGCCCGUCGGGAGCAGAACAGCCUUGGUGAGGUGGAGAGGAGGGAACCUCGCGAGCAGACGCGCGACAGCAGGCCCGCCCCGGCCUCUCGGGAGCCGUGGGGCAGAGGCUGCGGAGCCCCAGGCGGGUCUACCAGCCACAGUCUCUGCACGUUUCCAAGAGCAGCAGAAAAUGGAACCACAUUUGCAGGUCUCCAGACUUGUGAACGAGGUCUACCACAUGUAUAAUCGACAUCAGUAUCCAUUUGUUGUUCUUAACAUUUCUGUUGAUUCAGGUAAGUUCCAUUGGCAUUUCAGUACAACUAGUGACUAAUGCCUCAAAGAAUAAAAUGAGGCUGGGCGUGGUGGCUCACGCCUGUAAUCCCAGCACUUUGGGAGGCCAAGGCGGGCAGAUCACAAGGUCAGGAGAUCGAGACCAUCCUGGCUAACACAGUGAAACCCUGUCUCUACUAAACAAAAUACAAAAAAUUAGCCGGGCGUGGUGGCAGGUGCCUGUAGUCCCAGCUACUCAGGGAGGCUGAGGCAGGAGAAUGGUGUGAACCCAGGAGGCAGAGCUUGCAGUGAGCCAAGAUCGCGCCACUGCACUCCAGCCUGGGCAACAGAGCGAGACUCUGUCUCAAAAAAAAAAAAAAAAAAGAAAAAAUGAAAUUAUACAGCUCUGCUCUGACCGGAAUGAGAUAACAAUUUAUGGUCACGUAAGUUUGUUUGUUUUUCUUUUUGAGACAGGGUCUUGCUCAGGGUUUCACCAUCCACGUCCUGUAAUCCCAGCACUUUGGGAGGCUGAGGUGAACGGAUAAGUUAAGGUCAGGAGUUCAAGACCAUCCUGGCUAACACGGUGAAACCCCGUCUCUACUAAAAAUACAAAAAAUUAGCCGGGUGUGGUGGCGGACGCCUGUAGUCCCAGCUACUUGGGAGGCUGAGGCAGAAGAAUGGCGUGAACCCGGGAGAUGGAGCUUGCAGUGAGCCAAGAUCACGCCACCGCACUCCAGCCUCGGAGACAGAGCGAGACUCUGUCUCAAAACAAACAAAAAACCCGUAACAGUAUAGUUUAAUCUGUUUUUAAUUUGAAGUUAUUCAGUCUGUCCUUUUCUGUGAUUUGUUGCUUUCUCUCAUUAUUUUGUUUGUGAGAUUCACCCAAGUCAUGCAGCAAAAUUCGUUUUUUCGUUCGCUAUACUGUGUUCCAUUAUAGUCAGAUACCAUAAUUUGUGAAUAUUUGAAUUGUUUCCAGUUUGGGGCUAUAAUGGAGAAUGCUGUCAUGAACAUCCUUAUCCAUGUCUUUUGAUGAGCAUGCAUAGGUAGUUCUUCUUUUUUUUUUUUUUUUUUUUUUUAUCCUCAGUACCUGGGCGAGGGUCUCACCUCUUGUCCACCAGGGCUGG
rnacentral:lncRNA from 1 species